AACGUACGCUGGCGGCACGCCUAACACAUGCAAGUCGAACGAAGUAGCAAUACUUAGUGGCAGACGGGUGAGUAACAUGUAGGUAUCUGCCCUUUGGCCUGGAAUAACACGAGGAAACUUGUGCUAAUACCGGAUAAGUCUUUACGGAGAAAGCUUUAUGCACCAUUGGAUGAGCCUGCACUUGAUUAGUUUGUUGGUGGGGUAAUGGCCUACCAAGACUGUGAUCAAUAGCUGAUUUGAGAGGAUGAUCAGCCACAUUGGGACUGAGACACGGCCCAAACUCCUACGGGAGGCAGCAGUGGGGAAUCUUGCACAAUGGAGGAAACUCUGAUGCAGCGAUGCCGCGUGAGUGAAGAAGGCCCUUGGGUUGUAAAGCUCUUUCGUCGGGGAAGAAAAUGACUGUACCCGAAUAAGAAGGUCCGGCUAACUUCGUGCCAGCAGCCGCGGUAAUACGAAGGGACCUAGCGUAGUUCGGAAUUACUGGGCUUAAAGAGUUCGUAGGUGGUUGAAAAAGUUAGUGGUGAAAUCCCAGAGCUUAACUCUGGAACUGCCAUUAAAACUUUUCAGCUAGAGUAUGAGAGAGGAAAGCAGAAUUUCUAGUGUAGAGGUGAAAUUCGUAGAUAUUAGAAAGAAUACCAAUUGCGAAGGCAGCUUUCUGGAUCAUUACUGACACUGAGGAACGAAAGCAUGGGUAGCGAAGAGGAUUAGAUACCCUCGUAGUCCAUGCCGUAAACGAUGUGUGUUAGACGUUGGAAAUUUAUUUUCAGUGUCGCAGGGAAACCGAUAAACACACCGCCUGGGGAGUACGACCGCAAGGUUAAAACUCAAAUGAAUUGACGGGGACCCGCACAAGUAGUGGAGCAUGUGGUUUAAUUCGAAGAUACGCGCAGAACCUUACCAACACUUGACAUGUUCGUCGCGACUCUAAGAGAUUAGAGUUUUCGGUUCGGCCGGACGAAACACAGGUGCUGCAUGGCUGUCGUCAGCUCGUGUCGUGAGAUGUUGGGUUAAGUCCCGCAACGAGCGCAACCCUCACUUUUAGUUGCCAUCAUUAAGUUGGGCACUCUGAAAGAACUGCCAGUGAUAAGCUGGAGGAAGGUGGGGAUGACGUCAAGUCCUCAUGGCCCUUACGUGUUGGGCUACACACGUGCUACAAUGGUAUCUACAACAGGAAGCAAGACUGCGAAGUUAAGCAAAUCCCUAAAAGAUACCUCAGUUCGGAUUGCACUCUGCAACUCGAGUGCAUGAAGCUGGAAUUACUAGUAAUCGUGGAUCAGCGUGCCACGGUGAAUGCGUUCCCGGGUCU
rnacentral:rRNA from 1 species